AUGGGUGUUUAUGAGAUUGAAUCUUUGUUUAAAGAGUAUGAAAAUCUUGAUGAUGCUGUUUACAGACCUGAAAAUUUUGCUAUACUUAAAUAUUGUUAUGAGAAUUAUGAAUACAAUUCCGAUAUUGGUGCAUUUAUUGAGAAAGUCUCUGUUGUCCAAGAAGAGACUAAUAUUUUUCAGGAGUCUAUGGAAGAAGAAAUUGAUGAAACUGUGGGCUCAUUAGAUGAAAAAGAUGAUGAGGAGAGCGAAGAACAAAAGGAGGAAGAGCGGAUUAGCUACCCGUGCCCACCUUCUAAUGAGAGUAACUCUUCAACUCAUACAUUGUUUAAUUCCCCUUCGUGCUUACCGAAGGAUGAUUGCUAUGAUGAUUGUUAUGAUCCCGUUUAUUCUCUUGAAAUACCCCUUUUUGAUGAUGCUUGCUAUGCUUGUGGCCAAGAUGCCAAUAUGAAUUAUGCUUAUGGAGAUGAACUUGCUAUAGUUCCUUAUGUUAAACAUGAAAUUGUUGCUAUUGCACCCAUGCAUGAUAGUCCUAUUAUCUUUUUGAAUUCUCCCUACUACACUAUAUCGGAGAAGUUUGCCCUUAUUAAGGAUUAUAUUGAUGGGCUGUGUUUUACUACAACACAUGAUGAUUUUGAUAGAUAUAAUAUGCAUGUGAUUGCUGCUCCUACUUGCAAUUAUUAUGAGAGAGGAACUAUAUCUCCACCUCUCUAUGUUUCCCAUAUGAUAAAAUUGCAAGAAACUGCUUAUACUAUGCAUUGGCCUUUACUUGGUGUGCAUGAAUUGUUCGUUUAUGACAUGCCGAUGCAUAGGAAGAGAGUUAGACUUGUUAUUGCUUGA
rnacentral:rRNA from 1 species